AUUGGGGUCUGCAACUCGACCCCAUGAAGUCGGAGUUGCUAGUAAUCGCAGAUCAGCAUUGCUGCGGUGAAUACGUUCCCGGGCCUUGUACACACCGCACGUCACGUCACGAAAGUCGGUAACACACGAAGACGUUGGCCCAACCCCUAGUGAGAGGUAGCUGUCGAAGGUGGGAAUGGCUAGUGGUACGAAGUCUACACAAGGUAGCCGUACCGGAAGGUGCGGGUGGAUCACCUCCUUUCUGAGGAG
rnacentral:rRNA from 1 species